AGUGGCGGACGGGUGAGUAACGCGUGGGUAACCUGCCUUAUACAGGGGGAUAACAGUCAGAAAUGGCUGCUAAUACCGCAUAAGCGCACAGAGCUGCAUGGCUCAGUGUGAAAAACUCCGGUGGUAUAAGAUGGACCCGCGUUGGAUUAGCUAGUUGGUGGGGUAACGGCCCACCAAGGCGACGAUCCAUAGCCGGCCUGAGAGGGUGAACGGCCACAUUGGGACUGAGACACGGCCCAGACUCCUACGGGAGGCAGCAGUGGGGAAUAUUGCACAAUGGGGGAAACCCUGAUGCAGCGACGCCGCGUGAAGGAAGAAGUAUCUCGGUAUGUAAACUUCUAUCAGCAGGGAAGAUAGUGACGGUACCUGACUAAGAAGCCCCGGCUAACUACGUGCCAGCAGCCGCGGUAAUACGUAGGGGGCAAGCGUUAUCCGGAUUUACUGGGUGUAAAGGGAGCGUAGACGGUGUGGCAAGUCUGAUGUGAAAGGCAUGGGCUCAACCCCGGGACUGCAUUGGAAACUGUCAAUCUAGAGUACCGGAGAGGUAAGCGGAAUUCCUAGUGUAGCGGUGAAAUGCGUAGAUAUUAGGAGGAACACCAGUGGCGAAGGCGGCUUACUGGAC
rnacentral:rRNA from 1 species